rnacentral:rRNA from 1 species
GUUAAAAAGCUCGUAGUUGGAUUUCUGGAUCGAGCGCUCUGUCCGUCGCUGUGCGAUGCGUACUUGAGUCGUCUCGUUUCAUCCUUGCAGGGAAGCGCGUUCGACAUUUGUUUGUCGACGCGGGGAACUGCAUCUUUUACUGUGAAAAAAUUAGAGUGUUUAAAGCAGGCAUUUUGCUGUGAAUACAUUAGCAUGGAAUAAUAACAUAGGACCCUGGUUCUAUUUUGUUGGUUGGAGGCCAAGGUAAUGAUUAAUAGGGACAGUUGGGGGUAUUCAUAUUUAAUUGUCAGAGGUGAAAUUCUUGGAUUUAUGAAAGAUGAACUCAUGCGAAAGCAUUUACCAAGGAUGUUUUCAUUAAUCAAGAACGAAAGUUAGGGGAUCGAAGAGGAUUAGAUACCCUCGUAGUCUUAACCAUAAACUAUGCCGACUAGGGAUUGGCGGACGUACUUUUUAUGGCUCCGUCAGCACCUUAC